UGCCAGCUGUUAUUACGAUCAUUGUGAAUGUUUUGUUUUAUUAGAUUAGUCAGCUGUUUUAGAAUACAUAUUAUUAAGUUUCUCUCUGAUUGAUUUGUUGUUCUCUGAAGUUUUCUUCUGUAUCUAUUUCUUUGGCCAAUUAAAAACAAACUAUUUUGUGAUAAUUUUCUUUGCCAUUGCUGUCUGUUGGCCACUGGAAUUUUUGUGAAGGCUUCCUGAACAAUGUGAGUGGUCUUGGAGAGUGUUUGUUCGAUAUUUGUUUGGCCAUGUUAUACAAGGGGACCAGUGAUGUUUUUUUAAUUACGGAACCAAAGAUUUUGCAUGUUAUUGGGACGUGGUCUGAGUUCAACAAUUCUGGAUGUGUUACAAUUUGUGAAAUAUGUAGAUUGGAAUUACUAAGUAGAAUGUCAACCACUGAUGACUGUGUGUGAGAUGAAGUUUGACCAAAACGUGUAAAAGUGUCUGAAGAAUAUAUAUAAUAUUGAGAAUUAAGUUGGUGAUUGUAAAGGCUGUUACCGGCAGCAUUAUUUUGUUGGCAAUUCCAACUGGUAUGGUGCGCAUUAAAGUCACCAAAUAUAAAAUAGUCUGUCGUUCCUCGGGUGAUAAUAUUAAGAUCGUCAACAAAUGUAUUAGUAUAUUUUGGACAAUAAACCGAAGAAAAACGAA